UACAGAGGUGGCAAGCGUUGUUCGGAAUUACUGGGCGUAAAGAGCUCGUAGGCGGUUUGUCACGUCUGCUGUGAAAACUGGAGGCUCAACCUCCAGCCUGCAGUGGGUACGGGCAGACUAGAGUGCGGUAGGGGAGAUUGGAAUUCCUGGUGUAGCGGUGGAAUGCGCAGAUAUCAGGAGGAACACCGAUGGCGAAGGCAGAUCUCUGGGCCGUAACUGACGCUGAGGAGCGAAAGCAUGGGGAGCGAACAGG
rnacentral:rRNA from 1 species